CGGGUGAGUAACACGUAUCCAACCUGCCGAUGACUCGGGGAUAGCCUUUCGAAAGAAAGAUUAAUACCCGAUGGCAUAGUUCUUCCGCAUGGUAGAACUAUUAAAGAAUUUCGGUCAUCGAUGGGGAUGCGUUCCAUUAGGUUGUUGGCGGGGUAACGGCCCACCAAGCCUUCGAUGGAUAGGGGUUCUGAGAGGAAGGUCCCCCACAUUGGAACUGAGACACGGUCCAAACUCCUACGGGAGGCAGCAGUGAGGAAUAUUGGUCAAUGGACGAGAGUCUGAACCAGCCAAGUAGCGUGAAGGAUGACUGCCCUAUGGGUUGUAAACUUCUUUUAUACGGGAAUAAAGUGAGGCACGUGUGCCUUUUUGUAUGUACCGUAUGAAUAAGGAUCGGCUAACUCCGUGCCAGCAGCCGCGGUAAUACGGAGGAUCCGAGCGUUAUCCGGAUUUAUUGGGUUUAAAGGGAGCGUAGGCGGACGCUUAAGUCAGUUGUGAAAGUUUGCGGCUCAACCGUAAAAUUGCAGUUGAUACUGGGUGUCUUGAGUACAGUAGAGGCAGGCGGAAUUCGUGGUGUAGCGGUGAAAUGCUUAGAUAUCACGAAGAACUCCGAUUGCGAAGGCAGCUUGCUGGACUGUAACUGACGCUGAUGCUCGAAAGUGUGGGUAUCAAACAGGAUUAGAUACCCUGGUAGUCCACACAGUAAACGAUGAAUACUCGCUGUUUGCGAUAUACAGUAAGCGGCCAAGCGAAAGCGUUAAGUAUUCCACCUGGGGAGUACGCCGGCAACGGUGAAACUCAAAGGAAUUGACGGGGGCCCGCACAAGCGGAGGAACAUGUGGUUUAAUUCGAUGAUACGCGAGGAACCUUACCCGGGCUUGAAUUGCAACUGAAUGAUGUGGAGACAUGUCAGCCGCAAGGCAGUUGUGAAGGUGCUGCAUGGUUGUCGUCAGCUCGUGCCGUGAGGUGUCGGCUUAAGUGCCAUAACGAGCGCAACCCUUAUCGAUAGUUACCAUCAGGUUAUGCUGGGGACUCUGUCGAGACUGCCGUCGUAAGAUGUGAGGAAGGUGGGGAUGACGUCAAAUCAGCACGGCCCUUACGUCCGGGGCUACACACGUGUUACAAUGGGGGGUACAGAAGGCAGCUACACGGCGACGUGAUGCUAAUCCCUAAAGCCUCUCUCAGUUCGGAUUGGAGUCUGCAACCCGACUCCAUGAAGCUGGAUUCGCUAGUAAUCGCGCAUCAGCCA
rnacentral:rRNA from 1 species